CAACAUACUGAUUAAGUAUGAGUGAUAAUUAAAGAAUAAUAUAUUUUUAAAUUUAUACAUUGUGUUAUUUAUGAAUAAUUUAUUGUACAUUAUUUUAUAUUUUUAUUAAUUUAGAUACAUAUGUGUAAAUUGAUUAAUUAAGUAAUGAUCGCGGCGAUAAAAGCGAUGAGUAAUUCAUAAAAAGCCAUGAGUAAUUAAACAAAAAGUUGAUAACGAUGAAAGGAAGAGGAGUCAGUAGCGCGGAAAAAAUUUGUGUAUGUCGACAUGUUCCGAACCAUCAAAACAAUCGAAUUUUCAGUAUCAUGUUUAAUAAUAUAAUGUUCAAUAUAGUUUUUAUGUAAAUAUGUAUUUAUAUCAUCGUGGUUGUUUGUUUCAUGGUUUAUAAUAAACAUUAUUUUAAGUUGUAAGUGCAUUUUUCUACAAUGUCCGUCAGCGAUGAAGUGCUAAGCACAUAGAGACAUGGCAGCACGACAGUGAGCUGUAAAUGGCGUCGUGAAUCCUUCUACAUGAACAUUUUUAAGAAGAAAGCGACAUAAAAUUGGCCGGCAUGUACACAAGACAACGCAGUUAGCGAGAGCCACAACCAAGAAUAAAGUGAUGUUCAACUUAUUGCAGUGUGAGAGCGCUUCAAAAUUUGCGUUUUUUAUAACAUUUUCCAUGAUGGGAAGAUUGAACAAAAUAAUAAUUUUUGGGCAUUUAUCAACCCAACACCCAACAUUUAGCACGAAUUAAAAUUAUUAUAUGGUGGUUAUUUAUUAUAUGGAGAAACUAGUUAAAUAUUUUUAAAGUAUAUUAGAACAACUGACGUUUGACCUUUCAAUACCCAAUAAAAGAAUUUAAGCUUGUCAACUCUCAA